AUGUACAUGCCUACAACUUAGCGUUAAUGUAUUGGAUCCCAUUAGAAAUUCACAAUUAAGAGCACUCUGGCUAGAGUAGUAUUGGGAUGGGUGACCACCAGGGAAUUCCUAGUAUUUUACAUG
rnacentral:rRNA from 1 species